GACGAACGCUGGCGGCGUGCUUAACACAUGCAAGUCGAACGGAAAGGCCCUGCUUUUGUGGGGUGCUCGAGUGGCGAACGGGUGAGUAACACGUGAGUAACCUGCCCUUGACUUUGGGAUAACUUCAGGAAACUGGGGCUAAUACGGGAUAGGAGCUCCUGCGGCAUGGGGGGGGUGGGAAGGUUUCGGCGGUUGGGGAUGGACUCGCGGCUUAUCAGCUUGUUGGUGGGGUAGUGGCUUACCAAGGCUUUGACGGGUAGCCGGCCUGAGAGGGUGACCGGCCACAUUGGGACUGAGAUACGGCCCAGACUCCUACGGGAGGCAGCAGUGGGGAAUAUUGCACAAUGGGCGGAAGCCUGAUGCAGCAACGCCGCGUGCGGGAUGACGGCCUUCGGGUUGUAAACCGCUUUCGCCUGUGACGAAGCGUGAGUGACGGUAAUGGGUAAAGAAGCACCGGCUAACUACGUG
rnacentral:rRNA from 1 species